rnacentral:tRNA from 1 species
GCUGUUGUAGCUCAGUUGGUAGAGCAACUGAUUCGUAAUCAGUAGGUCGGAGGUUCAAUUCCCCCCAACAGCACCA